rnacentral:rRNA from 1 species
GACGAACGCUGGCGGCGUGCUUAACACAUGCAAGUCGAACGGUGACGGUCAAGUUUGUUUGGCCUGAUCAGUGGCGAACGGGUGAGUAACACGUGAGUAACCUGCCCCAGACUCUGGGAUAACCCCGGGAAACCGGAGCUAAUACCGGAUAUGACACCAGGUCGCAUGGCCAUGGUGUGGAAAGUUUUUCGGUCUGGGAUGGACUCGCGGCCUAUCAGCUUGUUGGUGAGGUAGUGGCUCACCAAGGCGACGACGGGUAGCCGGCCUGAGAGGGCGGCCGGCCACACUGGGACUGAGACACGGCCCAGACUCCUACGGGAGGCAGCAGUGGGGAAUAUUGCACAAUGGGCGGAAGCCUGAUGCAGCGACGCCGCGUGAGGGAUGACGGCCUUCGGGUUGUAAACCUCUUUCAGCAGGGAAGAAGCGCAAGUGACGGUACCUGCAGAAGAAGCACCGGCUAACUACGUGCCAGCAGCUGCGGUAAUACGUAGGGUGCGAGCGUUGUCCGGAAUUAUUGGGCGUAAAGAGCUUGUAGGUGGUUUGUCGCGUCUGCUGUGAAAAUCCGAGGCUCAACCUCGGACUUGCAGUGGGUACGGGCAGACUAGAGUGUGGUAGGGGAGACUGGAAUUCCUGGUGUAGCGGUGGAAUGCGCAGAUAUCAGGAGGAACACCGAUGGCGAAGGCAGGUCUCUGGGCCAUUACUGACACUGAGAAGCGAAAGCAUGGGGAGCGAACAGGAUUAGAUACCCUGGUAGUCCAUGCCGUAAACGUUGGGAACUAGGUGUGGGUCUCAUUUUAUGAGAUCCGUGCCGCAGCUAACGCAUUAAGUUCCCCGCCUGGGGAGUACGGCCGCAAGGCUA